rnacentral:rRNA from 1 species
UACGUAGGGCGCAAGCGUUGUCCGGAAUUAUUGGGCGUAAAGAGCUCGUAGGCGGUUUGUCGCGUCUGCUGUGAAAACCUAAGGCUCAACCUUGGGCUUGCAGUGGGUACGGGCAGACUAGAGUGCGGUAGGGGGUGACUGGAAUUCCUGGUGUAGCGGUGGAAUGCGCAGAUAUCAGGAGGAACACCGAUGGCGAAGGCAGGUCACUGGGCCGCAACUGACGCUGAGGAGCGGAAAGCAUGGGGAGCGAACAG